ACCUAGAGGGUUUCUGUCGAUCAAGGGCGAGAGUAGGAGUAUCCAACAGGAUUAGAGACCCUGGUAGUUCCUACCUUAAACGAUGCCGACAGGAGUUUGUCAUUUGUUAAUGGCAGAAUCUUUGGAGAAAUCAUAGUUCUUGGGCUCUGGGGGAACUACGACCGCAAGGCUGAAACUUGAAGGAAUUGACGGAAGGGCACACCAGGGGUGGAGCCUGUGGCUUAAUUUGAAUCAACACGGGGAAACUUACCAGGACCAGAUGUUUUUUAUGACUGACAGGCUUCGGGUCUUUCAGGAUAUUGUUUUUGGUGGUGCAUGGCCGUUGGUGGUGCGUGGGUUGACCUGUCUAGCGUUGAUUCAGCUAACGAGCGAGAUUAUCGCCAAUUAUUUACUUUGCCGAAGUCCUUCGGUUAAAGUUCUAAUUGGGACUCCCUGCGAUUUUAGCAGGUGGAAGAGGGUAGCAAUAACAGGUCCGUGAUGCCCUUUAGAUGCUCUGGGCUGCACGCGUGCUACAAUGUUAGGAUCAAUAGGACUGCGAGCCUGAGAGGGUGCGCUACUCUUAUAAUCCCUAACGUAGUUGGGAUUGACGUUUGUAAUCAGCGUCAUGAACCAGGAAUCCCUUGUAAAUGUGUGUCAACAACGCACGUUGAAUACGUCCCUGCCCUUUGUACACACCGCCCGUCGCUCCUACCGAUUGGAUGACUCGGUGAAAUCACCGGAUGCUUACGAGCAGAAAGUGAUUAAAUCACGUUAUCUAGAGGAAGGAGAAGUCGUAACAAGGUAACGGUAGGUGAACCUGCCGUUGGAUC
rnacentral:rRNA from 1 species